rnacentral:rRNA from 1 species
UAGUCUGCAACUCGACUACAUGAAGCUGGAAUCGCUAGUAAUCGCGAAUCAGCAUGUCGCGGUGAAUACGUUCCCGGGUCUUGUACACACCGCCCGUCACACCAUGGGAGUUGGUAACGCCCGAAGCCAGUGACCCAACCUUAAGAGGAGGGAGCUGUCGAAGGUGGGACCGAUAACUGGGGUGAAGUCGUAACAAGGUAAC